rfam:Apaloderma vittatum contig67740, whole genome shotgun sequence.
GGCCGGUUAGCUCAGUCAGUUGAGCAUAGCGCUAACAACACUGAGGUCGCGGGUUCAAUUCCCGCUCAGUCCC